rnacentral:piRNA from 1 species
UGGAAAAUUACUAGAGUGCAUUACUGAU